rnacentral:rRNA from 1 species
CUGGCUCAGGAUGAACGCUAGCGGCAGGCUUAACACAUGCAAGUCGAGGGGCAGCGGGUCUAGCAAUAGAUGCCGGCGACCGGCGAAAGGGUGAGUAACGCGUGAGCAACAUGCCCGAUACUGGGGGAUAGUCAUUGGAAACGAUGCGUAAUACCCCGUAACACACAGUUCCGCAUGGGGUUGUGUUGAAAGAUUCAUUGGUAUCGGAUUGGCUCGCGUGCCAUUAGCUAGAUGGCGGGGUAACGGCCCACCAUGGCGACGAUGGCUAGGGGUUCUGAGAGGAAGGUCCCCCACAUUGGAACUGAGACACGGUCCAGACUCCUACGGGAGGCAGCAGUGAGGAAUAUUGGACAAUGGCCGGAAGGCUGAUCCAGCCAUGCCGCGUGCCGGGAAGACGGCCCUAUGGGUUGUAAACCGCUUUUGCGGGGGAGCAAUAAGAGCAACGCGUUGCUCGAUGAGAGUACCCUGCGAAUAAGCAUCGGCUAACUCCGUGCCAGCCGCCGC